AAAGCAGCAUCCCAUGAGGAAGUUCUUCAUUGUUAUGGAAGGCUAUGGAAGUGGAGCUGAACAGGACCACUGCAGGCCAGAGUUCAUGUCUUUGAUGGAACAUUUGGGUGGUGGCCACAGCUCUUAUUUGCUGCAUUUCCAUUGCUCUGUGGUGGCUUGAGAGGGACCAUCUGGAAGACGUUGUUUCUGAGCCAUUCCCAUAGGGUGGUUCCAUCCUGGUGCUGUGUCCAUCCCUCUCUGUGAUUCUUGGUGGAGCCUGAAAGGCAGCCUGGUUGCUGGAGGAUGGAAGGUGCUAUAAUAAAUG